rnacentral:rRNA from 1 species
UAGCUAGUUGGUGAGGUAAAGGCUUACCAAGGCGACGAUCUGUAGCGGGUCUGAGAGGAUGAUCCGCCACACUGGAACUGAGACGCGGUCCAGACUCCUACGGGAGGCAGCAGUGGGGAAUUUUGGACAAUGGGGGCAACCCUGAUCCAGCCAUGCCGCGUGAGUGAAGAAGGCCUUCGGGUUGUAAAGCUCUUUCGGCCGGGAAGAAAUCGCAUGGGCCAAUACCCUGUGUGGAUGACGGUACCGGAAUAAGAAGCACCGGCUAACUACGUGCCAGCAGCCGCGGUAAUACGUAGGGUGCGAGCGUUAAUCGGAAUUACUGGGCGUAAAGCGUGCGCAGGCGGUUUUGUAAGACAGGCGUGAAAUCCCCGGGCUUAACCUGGGAACUGCGUUUGUGACUGCAAGGCUAGAGUACGGCAGAGGGGGGUGGAAUUCCACGUGUAGCAGUGAAAUGCGUAGAGAUGUGGAGGAACACCAAUGGCGAAGGCAGCCCCCUGGGUCGAUACUGACGCUCAUGCACGAAAGCGUGGGUAGCAAACAGGAUUAGAUACCCUGGUAGUCCACGCCCUAAACUAUGUCAACUAGGUGUUGGGUGGGUAAAACCAUUUAGUACCGUAGCUAACGCGUGAAGUUGACCGCCUGGGGAGUACGGCCGCAAGGUUAAAACUCAAAGGAAUUGACGGGGACCCGCACAAGCGGUGGAUGAUGUGGAUUAAUUCGAUGCAACGCGAAAAACCUUACCUACCCUUGACAUGCCAGGAACUUGCCAGAGAUGGCUUGGUGCCCGAAAGGGAGCCUGGACACAGGUGCUGCAUGGCUGUCGUCAGCUCGUGUCGUGAGAUGUUGGGUUAAGUCCCGCAUCGAGCGCAACCCUUGUCGUUAAUUGCCAUCAUUUAGUUGGGCACUUUAACGAGACUGCCGGUGACAAACCGGAGGAAGGUGGGGAUGACGUCAAGUCCUCAUGGCCCUUAUGGGUAGGGCUUCACACGUCAUACAAUGGUCGGUACAAAGGGUUGCCAAGCCGCGAGGCGGAGCCAAUCCCAGAAAGCCGAUCGUAGUCCGGAUUGCAGGCUGCAACUCGCCUGCAUGAAGUCGGAAUCGCUAGUAAUCGUGGAUCAGCAUGUCACGGUGAAUACGUUCCCGGGUCUUGUACACACCGCCCGUCACACCAUGGGAGCGGGUUCCGCCAGAAGUAGGUAGCCUAACCGCAAGGGGGGCGCUUACCACGGCGGGGUUCGUGACUGGGGCGAAGUCGGAACAAGGUAGCCGUAGGGGAACCUGCGGCUG